CUCUUAUCCAGAGAGGCGGAGGGACCGGCCCUGUGAAGCCUCGGCAACCUAUGUAUGAUUGGUUGAAUGCCAUUCGUACGGAAGGUGCCAAUUCCGGCAGUAGCGGUAAUCUUAACGGAUUACCCAAAUUCUGGAAGAUGGGAG
rnacentral:ncRNA from 2 species